rnacentral:rRNA from 1 species
UACGUAGGGUGCGAGCGUUAAUCGGAAUUACUGGGCGUAAAGCGUACGCAGGCGGGUUUUCAAGUCAGAUGUGAAAUCCCCGGGCUUAACCUGGGAAUUGCAUUUGAGACUGGAAGUCUAGAGUACUGUAGGGAGGGGUAGAAUUCCACGUGUAGCGGUGAAAUGCGUAGAGAUGUGGAGGAACACCGAUGGCGAAGGCAGCCCCCUGGGCAUGAACUGACGCUCAGGUGCGAAAGCGUGGGGAGCAAACAGG